rnacentral:rRNA from 1 species
UACGUAGGGGGCUAGCGUUGUCCGGAAUCAUUGGGCGUAACGAGCGUGUAGGCGGCCCGGUAAGUCCGCUGUGAAAGUCGGGGGCUCAACCCUCGAAUGCCGGUGGAUACUGUCGGGCUAGAGUGCGGAAGAGGCGAGUGGAAUUCCUGGUGUAGCGGUGAAAUGCGCAGAUAUCAGGAGGAACACCAAUUGCGAAGGCAGCUCGCUGGGACGUAACUGACGCUGAGACGCGAAAGCGUGGGGAGCAAACAGG